rnacentral:misc_RNA from 1 species
AACGGUCUAUACCUGCGGUACCUGCGGAGGGAUCAUUAGUGAACGCCCUCGCGGGCUUAUAACUAUUCCAAACCUCUGUGAACCGUGCCCUUCGGGGCUAUUUUACAAACAUGGUGUAAUGAACGUCAUAUAUCAUAACAAAACAAAACUUUUAGCAAUGGAUCUCU